ACUGUGUUCUGCUCUUUUGAAUAGUUGGUGAACAUUUUUUCUCCUGUUAAGCUUGGUGCAGAUUUUGCAGCGCUGAAAGUCCUUAAGAUAUUUUUUGUGAUGAACAUGUACUCACUGUAGGCAGCCGACACAUUUGUCCAUGAGGAACGAGAAGUUUAGUUAACUUUCAGCAGACCCGAACCGGAAAUACUGAAGCAGACAACUUGAUGUGUCAUAAAUUGGAAUUAUCAAUUUUGCUACAAUGAGUUUUCCUAUUGAUGCCGAGAAUUUGAUUGAAGAGUUAGAGGAGGACACAUGUGAAACAGAUGAGGCUCAAAAUUAUGGAGUUAUCGAAGAAAUCUCAACUGCAGAAACUCUUGCUCUUGAGGACAAAGCAGCGCCUGCCUCCAAAUCUGAAUCCAACGCUACCCUUGAGACCAAAAUUGUAGAUAAACCAAUCACUCCUGAACUUAACUCCACCUCAGAAGGAGCGGUAGCUGUCAGCACCAAAGUGGAGGAGCAAAGAUCUGACAUCCCUGACCACAAAGGAGAAGACAAGCAGGCACCAAAUCCUGGUGCAAAUACCUCGGCUGACAAUGAAGAAAAAUCAGAGUGUCAGGAGGACACUGAGAAGAUGGUGGACACAUCGGAAACUAUGUCUGCGCCUAGUUCACCACCUGUUCCAGAAAUUGUACCAAACUCCGAAACUCAUGUGAGCAACGUUACUAGAGAUGAUGAUUGUAGCAUAGUCUCAACUAGCUCUACAGUUCAAAAUCAAGAGUUAGAAGCCCUUCACACUGUAUUAAUCAAGGAGGAGGAGGAAGAAGAUGAUGCUUCACAUGUUGAGGAAUCAGAAAUGACCUUCAAUGUUUAUCCAGAAUUUGAAGAAAACUUGGACCCUAAAUUUAAGCCAACAAUUCGUCUGGAAAAAAUUGAAAUGCCUAGUGGCACAAUCAAGGUGGCAACUGAUGCUCAAGAAUCAGGAGAUGAAGAUUCAACUGCACCUCGACCUAAGCGGUCAUUAAAAACACCCUCCCGCCUAGCCAGUGGAGGUUUUAUAUUAGACCCUAAAGCACCAAAUGCAAAGACAUUACAAAAAACGCCAGCAGGUGAGAAGUCUUCAACAGCUAAGGUGGUUAAAAACUUUAUACCCAUUCGUCCAAAACCCGCUAACCUUAAUGACAAGGGUACAACAGUAACCUUGAUCAAGUCAGGACAAACUCCAGUUGCCAAAAAAGGUGUACCAAGCGAAAUAGCGAAAGAAAUUGUUCGUAAACUGAAUGCUGAUUCAGUUCCCUCAAUUUUGAAAAGAAAGUUGCAAAAGCAAAGUGACGAAGGUGCUCAAGGAGACUCAACGUCAAGCAGCUCAACUCCUGCUAAGAAAGCAAAGGCUGUGCCCCCCAAAAAACCAACCAGGAAACAUCGGAAGGUCUUCGACUAUGAAUCCUACCUAAGAGAUCAUUUGGAGGCAGAGGUGAAAGACAAGAGACCAAAGAGCAACCGUUCAGAAGCUCUUACGCGGUCUUCACUAGUUGGAAUCAACGUCGCCCCAUCAAAAAUUAAAGUUGUUCCCUUUAACAUUCAAGCAAAGUCCACUCUUCUAAGGAAGAGCAAUGAAAAUGAUACAAACAAUGUUGUUCGAUCUGGAGAACGAACAUUGUAUGACUUGAUGCAGGAUGUGUCGCGCUUACUGCCAAGCUGGAAUUUGCAUGUCUUACCAGAUUCCAACUCUUUUUGCAUAGCGCAAGUUUGCCGCGGAAGGUCUGGAAUCCCAACAUUGAAAACCAGCAUCGAAUUGGAUGAGGAAUUUAAUGCCAAAGUGUUCAUCCACCAGUUGCAUUGUAAACGUUAUGAUGGCAUAUAUGACAGCGAAGAAAGUAUAUGUGCACUAAUUCAAGAGAUAGACACCCUAUCAAAGUGA
rnacentral:lncRNA from 1 species